rnacentral:lncRNA from 1 species
UAAAUAAAUAAACAAACAAAGAUAAAAUUAUUCUUAAUUUUUAAAAUGUUAUUUUCUUUGAAAAAAGUUAAUGUCUUUUUUAUGUAUGACUCUUUAUCCAACUCAACGAGGCCUGCAUUUUUGUCUCCCAUGGUAACAAUACGAUUUUCUAUUUUAAUUUUAUGUUUCAGAUUUUUAAUGAUGCGAAGAAUUAAUUUAGUAUGGAAAGAUUUUAUGUUGACGUUCUUAUUCCCACUCGUUUUCCCUCACUCUUUCACCUUUAUCAUCUGGCGAACGUUCCUUAUGACCUUCAGUCCAAUUUCAUCCCUCAUCAUGUUGACUCAAGUUAUUUAAUUUUAAAGGAAAUUUUAACGUGUUAAUUGUUUGGUAAUUUGUUUUGUCGUUAAUUUUUAACAUUUAUUUUUAAACACUUUGAAAAACGAGAUUUACGAUGAAUAGAAAAACGCCAUUUUAAUUUUUUGGAUUUUUCAAUUUACUCUUCAAGUUUUUUUACAUUUGAAUUUUUCGUAAACGGAAUCUUUUUGAAGAAAUACUCUGAAACAAUACUCUCUUCACUCUCGAUGCUCCUACACCGACGUCCUGCCUGAAGAAGAACGAUAAUCGUUCGAAAUCUUCGAAGAUAGCACCGAAAUAAAAUAUUUUCAUCGUUUAUACGACUUUUAAUUUUUUUUAGCAGCAAAAAACCAUACAACUUACCUGGAAAAAAACCACCAAAUCGAUAAUAGAGGCAUCUCC